GAUGAACGCUGGCGGCGUGCCUAAUACAUGCAAGUCGAGCGAACGGACGAGAAGUUUGCUUCUCUGAUGUUAGCGGCGGACGGGUGAGUAACACGUGGAUAACCCACCUAUAAGACUGGGAUAACUUCGGGAAACCGGAGCUAAUACCGGAUAAUAUUUUGAACCGCAUGGUUCAAAAGUGAAAGACGGUCUUGCUGUCACUUAUAGAUGGAUCCGAGCUGCAUUAGCUAGUUGGUAAGGUAACGGCGUACCAAGGCAACGAUGCAUAGCCGACCUGAGAGGGUGAUCGGCCACACUGGAACUGAGACACGGUCCAGACUCCUACGGGAGGCAGCAGUAGGGAAGCUUCCGCAAUGGGCGAAAGCCUGACGGAGCAACGCCGCGUGAGUGAUGAAGGUCUUCGGAUCGUAAAACUCUGUUAUUAGGGAAGAACAUAUGUGUAAGUAACUGUGCACAUCUUGACGGUACCUAAUCAGAAAGCCACGGCUAACCACGUG
rnacentral:rRNA from 1 species